GAACUUGCCUCUUGGACUGGGACAACUGUUGGAAACGACAGCUAAUACCAGAUAUUAUGAGAUUCUCGCAUGAGAAACUUAUGAAAGCUAUAUGCGCCAAGAGAGAGCCUUGCGUUCCAUUAGCUAGUUGGUGGGGUAACGGCCCACCAAGGCGACGAUGGAUAGCCGGCCUGAGAGGGUGAACGGCCACAAGGGGACUGAGACACGGCCCUUACUCCUACGGGAGGCAGCAGUGGGGAAUAUUGGACAAUGGGCCACAAGCCUGAUCCAGCAAUUCUGUGUGCACGAUGAAGGUCUUCGGAUUGUAAAGUGCUUUCAGUUGGGAAGAAGAAAGUGACGGUACCAACAGAAGAAGCGACGGCUAAAUACGUGCCAGCAGCCGCGGUAAUACGUAUGUCGCAAGCGUUAUCCGGAUUUAUUGGGCGUAAAGCGCGUCUAGGCGGAAAAAUAAGUCUGAUGUUAAAAUGCGGGGCUCAACUCCGUAUUGCGUUGGAAACUGUUUUUCUAGAGUACUGGAGAGGUGGGCGGAACUACAAGUGUAGAGGUGAAAUUCGUAGAUAUUUGUAGGAAUGCCGAUGGAGAAGUCAGCUCACUGGACAGAUACUGACGCUGA
rnacentral:rRNA from 1 species